GCCAGUGUGUCAUAAUGGUUUGACUGUUGGAGUAGGACUCUAGAGACCAGGGUUCAAUUCCCUGCUUGGCCA